rnacentral:rRNA from 1 species
GAUCUUGCUCUGUGGGAUCAGNUGGCGAACGGGUGAGUAACACGUGCASCAACCUGCCCCUGACUCUGGGAUAAGCGCUGGAAACGGCRAUCUAAUACUGGAUAUGUGACGUGACCGCAUGGUCUGCGUUUGGAAAGAUUUUUCGGUUGGGGAUGGGCUCGCGGCCUAUCAGCUUGUUGGUGAGGUAAUGGCUCACCAAGGCGUCGACGGGUAGCCGGCCUGAGAGGGUGACCGGCCACACUGGGACUGAGACACGGCCCAGACUCCUACGGGAGGCAGCAKUGGGGAAUAUUGCACAAUGGGCGGAAGCCUGAUGCAGCAACGCCGCGUGAGGGAUGACGGCCUUCGGGUUGUARACCUCUUUUAGCAGGGAAGAAGCGAAAGUGACGGUACCUGCAGAAAAAGCGCCGGCUAACUACGUGCCAGCAGCCGCGGUAAUACGUANGGCGCAAGCGUUAUCCGGAAUUAUUGGGCGUAAAGAGCUCGUAGGCGGUUUGUCGCGUCUGCUGUGAAAUCCCGAGGCUCAACCUCGGGCCUGCAGUGGGUACRGGCAGACUAGAGUGCGGUAGGGGAGAUUGGAAUUCCUGGUGUAGCGGUGGAAUGCGCAGAUAUCAGGAGGAACACCGAUGGCGAAUGCAGAUCUCUGGGCCGUAACUGACGCUGAGGAGCGAAAGGGUGGGGAGCAAACAGGCUUAGAUACCCUGGUAGUCCACCCCGUAAACGUUGGGAACUAGUUGUGGGGUCCAUUCCACGGAUUCCGUGACGCA